UUAUGCAGAAGCCAAAGAGACACACUGCCCAUCAGCUACGAAUGUGCUUCUGACACCAGCUGCUGUUGAUGGCUAUGGAGCCAACAGUGAUGCCACUCAAGCAGGGUUAGGUUCUUCACAAGGUCACACUGCCACUGAUUCAGCACCAUCGGAUUUUCCAGAAGAUGCACCUUCAAGUUCCGAAUGUGACGCACUGCCA